rnacentral:misc_RNA from 1 species
UAAAAACUCGCAUCCAGGCAUACAUAUAUCAUCAGCCUCGUCGUCGGGUUGCUCGAUAAGUGUAAUUACAAUUGCAAUUGUUGGGUUUGCGGGCAAACCGUUAACGCGCGCGCGAAUGGCUAAAAUGUACACGGUCGAGAUGAUGACUCACAUCGAUCAGUAUCUGCGGCGCAUUAUGGAGCUGCAGAUACGGGACGUGGUCAAGCAGAAGCGCGACGAAGAAAGCGUCAAGUCCAUACUGGGUCGCCACACAAAGAUACUCGUCAAGUACAUGGUCAAGCUGGAGACGAAAGGCGACAAGACGGAGAAUCGUGUUCUGGUCUUUACACCCGUGAGGGUAUAUCUGCUCAGUGCCAAAGUGCCCACCAAGAUCGAAUGCCAUUUCCACUACCUGGACAUCGUAGGAGUCGAGAGCAAGAAGCCCACCCAUUUCUCCAUUGUGACCAACGAUCGGCCCUACUCGUUCGCAACCACCGGCGAUGCGGGCAGUUUCAGCUCGAACGCUGAUGUCAUUCUAACCGAUCUGGCCUCAGCCAUCAAGCAGAUUUUUCCAACAGUUCCUCUCAAAUACAUAAUACGAAAGAUCGAUAUCCAGCCACCGGAGCGAGAGACCAUAUUCUCCGAGGAAUUCCGACCCUCUGAUCCGCGCAAUGUCGGCCCCUGCGGCGGAUUCAGUGCCCAGUACGCCUGCAUGUGCGACUUCCAUGGCGUUCCCUAUCGCGAGGAGGUGGCCUGGGACGUGGACACCAUCUAUCUGUCCCACGACACCCGAGUGCUCAACCUGCGCGACUUUGACCACCUGGAACCAAAAGACCUGAUGGCCAUUGUUUCCGCUCUGGAGUAUAAUACAUUUUUUCGCGGCCUGAAGGCUGCCCACAUGCGACUGUCCCACGAGACCCUGGAACGCAUCCUGCACGUGCUCAAGCGUUCGAUGUGGCUGGAGGAGCUGCAUCUGGAGGCGCUAGGAUUAAGAUGGGAUUUCCUAAACAAGUUAUCGAUAUCUGUGAUAACGAAUAGCAAUCCCGCCAUUCGCACCAUUGAUCUGAGCCACAAUAUAAUUGAGGAUAAAGGAGCGAGCUCAUUGUGCGCCCUACUCGGAAAGAUUGUACAAGGUGCCAUCCACUUGGCCGGACCCAUCGCCAAGGUGUCCAAGGGUCUGUGCAAGCUGGCCCUGGCCCACUGCGGCUUGACUUCGAAGGGGGUGAACCAGAUGUCCCACUCCCUGACGCUCAAUCAAAGUAUUUCCAACUCGCUCACGUAUCUAGACCUAAGUGGUAAUAGUCUCAAAGAUGAUAUAACCAAUCUGCACAACUUCCUGGCUCAACCCAAUGUGCUGGAGCACUUGGACCUGGCCUCGACUGACAUCACAUUGGAAAAUUUGUUUGGAGCUCUCUUGCGCGGCUGUGCCACGCACCUGGCCCACCUCAACGUAUCGCACAACUCGUUUAGCACCAAAAAGGGCAAGGAGAUACCGCCCUCGUUCAAGCAAUUCUUCACCAGCACCCUCAGUCUGAAGCACCUCAACAUAGCCGGCUGCAAGCUGCCCAUGGAAGCUCUUAAGAAUUUGCUGCUCGGCCUGGCCUGCAACGAAUCCACAGCUGGACUUCAUCUAGAUCUCAGCGGCAACACGCUGGGCACCCAAGGCGCCCACGUGCUUGAGUCCUGCAUCCACGGAGUACGAGUGCUGCAAAGCCUGGACAUCAGCGACAACAAUUUGGAUGCUGAACUGGCGCCCGUGCUGACGGCCAUCUCAAAGAACCCCUCAAUACGAACGCUAUACUUAACCCGCAACCUAACGGGCAUGAAGCCAAAGCACAUUCCCCCCGUGAUGGACGCCCUGGUGAACCUCAUCCAGAAGGACGACUUCCCCCUGGCCGAGCUAGUGCUUUCGGAGAACAAGCUGAAGCACGACCUGCACGACUUCAUCAAUGCCCUCGGCAGCAAUCAGAGCCUGCAGAAGCUGGACAUCAGUGGCAAUUAUAUGGGAGAUGUGGGCGCCCGGCUGUUGGCCAAAGCCCUGCAGAUCAACAACCGACUGCGAACCAUUUACAUGGACAAGAAUGCAGUGACGCUGCAGGGAUAUGCAGAUAUUGUGUAUGCCCUGGAGCACAACCACAGCAUGCGCACCAUCCCGUUCCCCGUGUUCGAUAUUGCUCCGCACCUAAAGAGUCAUCCGGACAAGACGGAUGCGGUGAUGCGAAAGAUGCAGGAGCUGCUGCAGCGCAACUGCAAUGGACUGAAGCGCACCAAUGGUCAGGGCUUCCGGCUGCAACACGGAUUCAUGCUGUCCUCCACGCACCAGUUGGUGGACAAGCUAGUAGCCGAGACGCAGGACACCAUCUCGCUGGCCAAGGGCGGCAGUGAUUCCGCCUCGGCGGUGCAGCGCCUCAUAACCGAAGCGGAGAACUGCAAGCAGCUGAUGCCCAAGCUGCAGGAGGCGGUUCGCAGCGACGCCCAUCCCAUCGAGAUGAAGCUGACCCGAGUGGCCAGUGAGCUGGGCUACACGAUCAAGAGCUAUCUGGAGGAGACGCUGGAGACGAUGAUGCGAACGGGUAUCGAGCAGUGUCCCAAGACCCUGGGCAACCAGAUAGUGGUGCAGGAUCUGCGGAAGGUCCUGGCCGAACGCCUGCUGGUGCCCGAGGACUUCCUCCAAAGCUGUUUACUGAACAAUGCCGGCAGUGAGAUCAUGAACAAAGUUAGUGAAAUCGAGCAAUCCCUGGCAGCCGCCAUCUCGGAUAGGGCCACUGAUGAAGUUUUGGAGGCUCUGACCCGCUAUCGCAGGGGCCUCGGCAUUGCUGAGUCGCCAUCGGUACUGCUGGACGAGCCGCAAACGCCGGACAUCGUUCGCAGCCGCUCCAGUCAUGACGCGGAUGGUCUGAUCAUACGGCCGGGUGGAAGAGGCUCUAUAUUGCCCAAACUGGGCCUGGAAUCGCCCACUAAAUUGGAAUAUCUCAACCUUGCCACUCCUCAUCUGGCCACCAAGCGGCGCAGCGUUGCCAGGAAAGUGCGUCCCCAGUCUGUCGUGGAGAAUCUCAGCCUGGGUCAUAUACCAGAUCUCCUGGACUCGCCCUCUUCCCAUCGCUCCAGUUCCCAACUGUCGACCCGAGCGGCUGCAGGAGCCGCUGCCGUGGCCGGUGCCACCAACAUGACCGACAGCAUCGCUGCCAUGGACGACGGAGGUGUGGACGAGUGCUGUGACUCCAUCACCGAGUUGCCGAGCGCUUCUUUCCAGCUGCAGCACCUGGUCAAGGGUCGACCAAAGCGUGCCAAGACGCGUGCACCCACUCGGCCGCUGGUUAAUGCUGAGUGUGCCGGAGGCAGUCGGGAGAUUGGCGAGGGGCUGGAGCACUUCUUCCGACCCGGAUCGGUCACACCCACUACCCUCACGCCCUUGGUGUCGCCCACGUCGGAGGAGUGCAGCUCGCUGUCGUUUGUGGACAGUCCCACCAUGAGCCGGGAUGGAAACGGACACAUGACCUCCGAGGAGACUACACCUAUUCUGGAGGAGCGCCGUCCAAUCAAAUUGGAACGUCAGUCGCCCCUGCUGAAGAGUGCCUCCUGGGCCACAAGAUCUCGCUCCACUGACAAUCUGGAGAAAUAUUCUCCUCUGGUGGGUCGCAAAUCCCCGCUGGUUAAGAUGCGCACUGAAGGCGGACCGGGCGCUGGUGCCGGUGGCGAGGAGACAUCCAUUCCCACAUCCAAUCUUCUAAAGGCCACCGCCCGGGAUGAUAAAAUGCGGUCGCCAAGCAGCGAUUCAAUUAAGAGUCAUGCCACGGGCGAAGGCAGCGUGAUUGUCAAGACGGGCAAUGGCAUCCUGCGCACCCCAAUUGUGCUGCAGAAGCCACGACCCUGGUCGGUAGUCGGCAGCGAGCCGAAAGCCAGUGGGGAGCUGGUCACAGGAAAUGGGAAUGCUGAUUCCACGCCAGACAACCUGGAAGAAGAUGAAGUCGAGGUAGUGGCUUUUGGUUCAAGCAGCGGUGGCUCUAUAGUUGGCAUCACGCCUGGCAUAGCCUUAACCACCAGUACCAGUGGAGGUGGCAGCAUUGUGGGCAUCACACCAGGGGCUGCCCUGGAGAAGAAGUCUGUUCGCGAACUAGCCGCUGGACUUAACCGACUGGAACUUCCCCUCAAGCCGCCUGUUAUGCCCAGAACCCUCUUAAAUACAGCGAAUGCGCGCACGAGCAGCACCUCCACCACAUCCACGACCUCAUCCAACGGAGGGAGCUCUUCAACCACUUCCAGUACGUCUACGACAGUAUUAAACAGCCAGAACCAGACCCGUACGCAGGUUGUGACCACCACCAGCAGCGAGACAACUACGGAGCAGACAAGCAGUAGCUCUAGCAGCAUUAGUAGCAGCUCCUCGACCCGGCAGGAGCAGCGUCAUGCCAUGGCCUGUGCAAGUCUAAUCAGCAACGAGAUCCUGAGCAUGCGAAAUGGCCAAUUGGCUGGCAAGUCGGGAAGUUGUGCGGAAAGCGGAGGCGUUAAACGGAUCGCCGGCAAGGAGAUCUCCACACUGUUCGAGGUUUGAGCUCCGGGACUGGAACUGUGUUCAUCGUUCGAAAUUUUGGUGGCCUGGCCAAGUUGCUUCGUUGAUUUUGGUGCUCAUCAUCCUGAGACAUUAGUUGAAGAGCUGCAGCAGAGCAUGGCGAACCGACGCAUGUUUAGAGACUCGGCCUACACCAAGGAGG